rnacentral:lncRNA from 1 species
UUUUUUUUGAAUUUUUUAUGCCCGUUUCAAAAUGCGGUCAAAACGGCGGGCUUGACCGUUCCUAGCUAGUGGUUGAAUCUUGGAUUUUUUUUGGUGUAUCUAUGAUUAAAUAGAUACUUAUGUACCUAGAAAUGAUUUUUGGAAAAAAUAAAGAGCAAACUAUGAGGCAGCUGCAGUUCAAAUUUGACCCGUUUCCAGCUGAAUCGACGAUAAUUUGUCUUUUUCAUCAGAGGUGGAUCAAAACUUUUUGCACCCAACCAUUUUUUCAAUUGUGCAUUAUAUAUGGCCUAGUAUUUUAUAAAAUUGAUUUGGUCCAUUUGUGCAACAAUUAUUUGGUAGUUCCUUCACAAAAAAACCUCAUUUCGGGCACUCGAAAAAUGAAAAAUUAAUUUUUCGUGCAAAGAAAAUGAAAACUUCCUUAGGCAACAUUGUUUGGAAUUCCAAGAGGCACCCUUGUGCACAAUAUUGGAUCAUUUGAACAAACUAUGCCAUGAAUGUGGCCAUAAGAUUGAUCAUUUGGCUUGAAAGCCAUUGAUCUCCACACAUGAUAGCUCGUUUCUGAGAACACUUUUUUAAAAUAAUUACCGUAUUACAAGUUUAUUAUUUUUCCUGGAAACUUGGUCACAUAUAAUGACACAAUGCGAAGGUUUCAUAAUGUUUUGAUUUUUUUGAAUUUUUUAUGCCCGUUUCAAAAUGCGGUCAAAACGGCGGGAAUGACCGUUCCUAGCUAGUGGUUGAAUCUUGGAAUUUAUUUGGUGUUUCUCUGAUUAAAUAGGUCCUUAUGUAACUAGAAAUGAUUUUUGGAAAAAAUAAAUAGCAAACUAUGAGGCAGCUGCAGUUCAAAUUUGACCCGCUUCUAGCUGAAUCGGCGGAAAUUUGUCUUUUUCACGAGAGAUGGAUCAAAUUUUUUUACACCCAACCAUUUUGUCAAUUGUGCAUUAAAUAUGGCCUAGUAUUUUAUAAAAAUGAUUCGGUCCAAUUUUGCAACAAUUAUUUGGUAGUUCCUUCACAAAAAACCCUCCUUUCGGGCACUCGAAAAAUGGAAAAUGGUUUUUUCGUCCAACGAAAAUGAAAACUUCCUUAGGCAACAUUGUUUGCCAUUCCAAUAUGCACCCCUGUGCACAAUAUGAGAUCAUUUGAACAAACUAUGCCAUUAAUGUGGCCAUAAGAUUAAUCAUUUGGCUUGAAAGCCAUGAAUCUUUAGAGAUGAUAGCUCAUUUCUGAGAACACUUUUUUAAAAUAAUUGUCGUAUUACAAGUUUGUUAUUUUUCCUGGGAACUUGGCCACAUAUAAUGACACAAUGCAAACUUUUCCCAUUUUUUUGAUUUUUUUGAAUUUUUUAUGCCCGUUUCAAAAUGCGGUCAAAACGGCGGGAAUGACCGUUCCUAGCUAGUGGUUGAAUCUUGGAAUUUUUUUGGUGUUUCUUUGAUUAAAUAGAUAAUUAUGUACCUAGAAAUGAUUUUUGGAAAAAAUAAAUAGCAAAGUAUGAGGCAGCUGCAGUUCAAAUUUGACCCGCUUCUAGCUAAAUCGGCGAAAAUUUGUCUUUUUCACGAGAGGUGGAUCAAAACUUUUUACACCCAACCAUUUGGUCAAUUGUGCAUUCAAUAUGGCCUAGUAUUUUAGAAAAAUGAUUUGGUCCAAUUUCGCAACAAUUAUUUGGGAGGUCCUUCACAAAAAAACCUCUUUU